rnacentral:misc_RNA from 1 species
UUUCAGUUUCGUGCUGUUUCGAGAGAAGAAGAACGAAACGAAGACGAAGAACCGAAGAAACAAGAAGAAGCAAAAAGAAGAGACAAAAAAGAGAAGAGAAACGGAAAGAUUUUGCUUUCGCGCCGCUCGCGGAUGCGUCCAUGACGGCGGCGGAAGUAGGAUAGAACAGAGAU